AACGUAGGUGACAAGCGUUAUCCGGAUUUACUGGGCGUAAAGCGCGUUCAGGCGGUUUGGCAAGUCGGGCAUGAAAUCUCUCGGCCUAACCGGGAGAGGCUGUCCGAUACUGCCGAGCUUGAGGGCGGUAAAAGGUGGCGGAAUUCCGCAUGUAGUGGUGAAAUGCGUAGAUAUGCGGAGGAACACCAGUGGCGAAGGCGGCCACCUAGGCCGACCCUGACGCUGAAGCGCGAAAGCUAGGGUAGCGAACGGG
rnacentral:rRNA from 1 species